rnacentral:rRNA from 1 species
UUGGGUGUGACUGCGUACCUUUUGUAUAAUGGGUCAGCGACUUAUAUUCUGUAGCAAGGUUAACCGAAUAGGGGAGCCGGAGGGAAACCGAGUCUUAAUUGGGCGUUAAGUUGCAGGGUAUAGACCCGAAACCCGGUGAUCUAGCCAUGGGCAGGUUGAAGGUUGGGUAACACUAACUGGAGGACCGAACCGACUAAUGUUGAAAAAUUAGCGGAUGACCUGUGGCUGGGGGUGAAAGGCCAAUCAAACCGGGAGAUAGCUGGUUCUCCCCGAAAGCUAUUUAGGUAGCGCCUCGUGAAUUCAUCUCCGGGGGUAGAGCACUGUUUCGGCUAGGGGGCCAUCCCGGCUUACCAACCCGAUGCAAACUGCGAAUACCGGAGAAUGUUAUCACGGGAGACACACGGCGGGUGCUAACGUCCGUCGUGAAGAGGGAAACAACCCAGACCGCCAGCUAAGGUCCCAAAGUCAUGGUUAAGUGGGAAACGAUGUGGGAAGGCCCAGACAGCCAGGAUGUUGGCUUAGAAGCAGCCAUCAUUUAAAGAAAGCGUAAUAGCUCACUGGUCGAGUCGGCCUGCGCGGAAGAUGUAACGGGGCUAAACCAUGCACCGAAGCUGCGGCAGCGACACUGUGUGUUGUUGGGUAGGGGAGCGUUCUGUAAGCCUGUGAAGGUGUGUCGUGAGGC